GUCCUGAGCCUGGUUCUGCUGGAGGUUUCUUCCUGUUAAUAGGUGGAUUACCAAGAUCACAGAAGCCACACCUCAUGCUAAGAAGUCCUCACUUCAAGUUGGGUCAGAAAACAAAGAAGCUCACCACGGAGCACUCACAGCCACUCUGCCUGAAGAACUGCCACCUGCCUUUGAAAACCUCCUCCUUUGGAUCUCCUCGCCUCUGGAAAAUCUCUGAUGUCCAAAACCAAAAACUCCACCUGUAAAUAAAACUGCACUUAUCUUUUUAUUUGUUGUCUUGGUCUGGUCAUUCAGCUCUGCUGCUUUGUUGAACAAUAUCCCAUCCUUGUCAAUGUGCUGCUCAGGAUGGGAGACUGUGGUGAAAUUAAGGUUCAACACAAUCUGCUGGCUUCUUUACAUUUAGACUUUGUGCUAUAUAAACUAAAUUCAAUUAAUGUGAAAUAUUUGAUAAAAGAAAUUAACGAUGUAAUUAUAAUUAGGUGUACAAAUAAAAAGGCAGGUUGAUCUUAACACUGACUCCAUGUAAUUUAUCACAGGGCAGUUGUGUCUAAAUGUGUCAGUAUUUUACAGCAAACAUAAAAAGUUAAGGCUGUACAGCUUUAUUAUGCACCAAAAACGUUGACAGACCUAAACACAGCACAUGGCUUGAAACUCUUAAUCAACUUGUCAGUAGACAGAUAUCUUUCAGUUUUUGUUAAAUUAUUCACACACAGGAAAUGUGGAUAAUUGUGGCAAUUUGUAUAACUUAACAUGUCUGAAAUGUUUAAUUCAAAUAGACAGUUGAGAUUAUGAUGAAAACUUAUAUGCUGAAUUAAAAUGCAUUUAAAAUAUCA